CGUGGUGGAAGAUAAAUUCAUCAAAGUUUCCGGUUCUAGUUGAUGUUGCACGAGAUGUCUUGGCAAUUCCGAUCACCACUGUUGCUUCCGAGUCCACAUUUAGCACUGGGGGUCGCGUCAUAGAUCCUUUUCGGAGUUCUUUUGCUCCGAAAACAGUGGAGGCUCUUAUAUGUACUCAGAAUUGGUUGAGAUCUUCUUGUGUCAGUGAGAAUGAUGAGUUACAUCUUCCUUCUUUUGAAGAUGAAGAUAGCUAUAAGCUUGACUCGGAAAUUAUGUCUGACUCCAUUACAUUUGACAAUGAGGCUUGAAGGAUGAUGUACUUUGUCACGUUGAAAGAUCAAGGAAGCAAAUUGAAAGUCAUCACAUGUUUGUUGGAGGAAGUUUUUAUUUCUCUUCUCUUUUGGAGUUUUUGUUGGAGAC